rfam:Triticum aestivum genome assembly, contig: Triticum_aestivum_CS42_TGACv1_scaffold_227985_3B
CAUAUACUCCCUCCGUCCCAAAAUUCUUGUUUUAGAUUUGUCUACAUAAGGAUAUACCUAUUAUGUGUUAGAUACAUCUGUAUGUAGACAAAUUUAAGACAAGAAUUUCGGGACGGAGGGAGUAUAUC